GGCACCCUCUGAACAAAACAAAACUCUUGCCUUGGAAAGGUUUUCAUUUUUGCGUGGGUUGGAGGUAAAAACAACAGAGAAAAGUCGUUAAACAUGGUGUAAGAGAACAUGAUACAACAGGAAACAGGCCAAGCUGGCGGAGAUUCCGCAAUGAUAUGAAACCAAAAUGACUGGGGACUGGAGAGUCUAAGAUGAUUCUUGUGCGGAGAUGGAAAAGCUCUGGGAAUAAAAACGGACACAUCAACAUGAAAACUGUGAGAAGAGUCGGAGACAGACCUCCGGGCUACUGGAGCCCUGAGAAGGCCUUACAGGGGGGCCCUUUUCCAGACCUCUGUGGCUGCGUGGGAAGUACUCCCCAGCAAAGGAGGGAAAGGCCUGCCAGGCAGGAAGAAAGGUUCCUGCCUUGAGUUUCUGCCCUGACUUCUCCCAGUGAUGCACUCAUGCCUGGAAGUGUAAGAUGAAAGAAACUCUUCUUAACCCAUUUCCUUUUGACCAUUAUUCUAUCACAGCGACAGAAAAGCGAAUUAGAACAAGACAGACACAGCAUUUUUUCUUCUCUUUAAAAAGUUGUGUUUUUUUUUUUUUUUUUUCAAAACUACUUUCUAAAUGGUUCCUAGUAUUAGCACCUGCAUCUUGGAACUUGGAUAGAAAGUUCAGUAAGAGUUCAAGCACAUUGACUAUCAUAUCCUUUUUUUU